rnacentral:lncRNA from 1 species
CACACUGGAUUGGCACCCACCUCUGAGUUCUGGCCAGGAGGCUUCUUGCCCCAUUCAAAUUGUUACAAAGUUCAGCUGGAAAUUACCUUCUCCCUGUGGUGUUUUCCCCCUACUCCUCUGGCUGCCCUCCUGAUGGAUCCUUGUGGUGCCAGGCAGGAAUGGCCUGCCUGGGGACCCAGUGAGCUGCCAGGGCCUUUGUGAUGCUUCCUCUACCCCUGUAUUUCUCUUGGCUUUCUAAAUGGACUCAGCUCCAGAGUGGAAGCAGCCUAAGGCCCUCACCAGAAGCAGCUGCUCGUGUCAUUUUUCUUGCAGAGCCGGAAGAACUGUCCCUGAUCAACCAGUCAAGCCGUUCACCACCGCUCGUUUAAUUGAAUGCUCCAGUUCUUUUCAUUUCCGAAGUUAUGGUGAGAAGAACUAAGUGGAAAAUGAGUCUCACUCUUGUCACCCAGGCUAAUCUCAGCUCACCGCAGCCUCCACCUCCCAGGUUCAAGUGAUUCUCCUGCCUCAGCCUCCCGAGUAGCUGGGGUUACAGGUAU